rnacentral:rRNA from 1 species
CACUGCCGAGAAAAGCCUCUAGAUAGAAAAUAGGUGCCCGUACCGCAAACCGACACAGGUAGUCAAGAUGAGAAUUCUAAGGUGAGCGAGCGAACUCUCGUUAAGGAACUCGGCAAAAUGACCCCGUAACUUCGGGAGAAGGGGUGCUCUUUAGGGUUAACGCCCAGAAGAGCCGCAGUGAAUAGGCCCAAGCGACUGUUUAUCAAAAACACAGGUCUCUGCUAAACCGUAAGGUGAUGUAUAGGGGCUGACGCCUGCCCGGUGCUGGAAGGUUAAGAGGAGUGGUUAGCUUCUGCGAAGCUACGAAUCGAAGCCCCAGUAAACGGCGGCCGUAACUAUAACGGUCCUAAGGUAGCGAAAUUCCUUGUCGGGUAAGUUCCGACCCGCACGAAAGGCGUAACGAUUUGGGCACUGUCUCAACGAGAGACUCGGUGAAAUCAUAGUACCUGUGAAGAUGCAGGUUACCCGCGACAGGACGGAAAGACCCCGUGGAGCUUUACUGUAGCCUGAUAUUGAAAUUCGGCACAGCUUGUACAGGAUAGGUAGGAGCCUUUGAAACGUGAGCGCUAGCUUACGUGGAGGCGCUGGUGGGAUACUACCCUAGCUGUGUUGGCUUUCUAACCCGCACCACUUAUCGUGGUGGGAGACAGUGUCAGGCGGGCAGUUUGACUGGGGCGGUCGCCUCCUAAAAGGUAACGGAGGCGCUCAAAGGUUCCCUCAGAAUGGUUGGAAAUCAUUCAUAGAGUGUAAAGGCAUAAGGGAGCUUGACUGCGAGACCUACAAGUCGAGCAGGGUCGAAAGACGGACUUAGUGAUCCGGUGGUUCCGCAUGGAAGGGCCAUCGCUCAACGGAUAAAAGCUACCCCGGGGAUAACAGGCUUAUCUCCCCCAAGAGUUCACAUCGACGGGGAGGUUUGGCACCUCGAUGUCGGCUCAUCGCAUCCUGGGGCUGUAGUCGGUCCCAAGGGUUGGGCUGUUCGCCCAUUAAAGCGGUACGCGAGCUGGGUUCAGAACGUCGUGAGACAGUUCGGUCCCUAUCCGUCGUGGGCGUAGGAAAUUUGAGAGGAGCUGUCCUUAGUACGAGAGGACCGGGAUGGACAUACCUCUGGUGUACCAGUUGUCGUGCCAACGGCAUAGCUGGGUAGCUAUGUGUGGACGGGAUAAGUGCUGAAAGCAUCUAAGCAUGAAGCCCCCCUCAAGAUGAGAUUUCCCAACUUCGGUUAUAAGAUCCCUCAAAGAUGAUGAGGUUAAUAGGUUCGAGGUGGAAGCAUGGUGACAUGUGGAGCUGACGAAUACUAAUCGAU